CAAAACGCUCUUGAAAACAUUUUUUUUGCUGUUUGUUGGCUUGAUUGUCACGCUUAGUACUUCGCCAUUGAUCUACAGAUGUUUAGUGAUAAUGGACAGUAGCGACAACAAUUGUGCAGUUUACGACAGAAUGUCUAAACUAAAGGUGUCAUCGCUAGGUACAUGUGAUCAUGACGAUGUCAAGGAAUGGGCCUUCCGACUGCUACUGACAACGUCCUUAUUUCUUGCUUUCGUCACAGUUUUUCUUAUCAUCAUUAGAGGUUUCAUUCUCUUUUCCACUUCAAGCUCAUUAUCAUAUCCAACAACAAUUUUAUUUGUCUGUAUGUUUCUUGUCAUGGCGUCAUUGACCAUUUCGACUUCUUUUUAUUACAACAACCUCUAUGAAGCAAGAAACAAAGCUGUG